UACGUAGGGUGCGAGCGUUGUCCGGAAUUAUUGGGCGUAAAGAGCUCGUAGGCGGUUUGUCGCGUCGGCCGUGAAAACUUGGGGCUUAACCCCAAGCUUGCGGUCGAUACGGGCAGACUUGAGUUCGGCAGGGGAGACUGGAAUUCCUGGUGUAGCGGUGAAAUGCGCAGAUAUCAGGAGGAACACCGAUGGCGAAGGCAGGUCUCUGGGCAUUAACUGACGCUGAGGAGCGAAAGCAUGGGGAGCGAACAGG
rnacentral:rRNA from 1 species